UUUAACUGAAGAGUUUGAUCAUGGCUCAGAUUGAACGCUGGCGGCAGGCUUAACACAUGCAAGUCGAGCGGGGGAAGGUAGCUUGCUACUGGACCUAGCGGCGGACGGGUGAGUAAUGCUUAGGAAUCUGCCUAUUAGUGGGGGACAACAUCUCGAAAGGGAUGCUAAUACCGCAUACGUCCUACGGGAGAAAGCAGGGGAUCUUCGGACCUUGCGCUAAUAGAUGAGCCUAAGUCGGAUUAGCUAGUUGGUGGGGUAAAGGCCUACCAAGGCGACGAUCUGUAGCGGGUCUGAGAGGAUGAUCCGCCACACUGGGACUGAGACACGGCCCAGACUCCUACGGGAGGCAGCAGUGGGGAAUAUUGGACAAUGGGGGGAACCCUGAUCCAGCCAUGCCGCGUGUGUGAAGAAGGCCUUAUGGUUGUAAAGCACUUUAAGCGAGGAGGAGGCUACUUUAGUUAAUACCUAGAGAUAG
rnacentral:rRNA from 1 species